UACAGAGGUCUCAAGCGUUGUUCGGAUUCAUUGGGCGUAAAGAGCGUGUAGGCGGCCUGACAAGUCUGCUGUGAAAACUCGAGGCUCAACCUCGAGCUGUCGGUGGAAACUGUCUGGCUAGAGUCCGGAAGAGGAGAGUGGAAUUCCUGGUGUAGCGGUGAAAUGCGCAGAUAUCAGGAGGAACACCGGUGGCGAAGGCGGGUCUCUGGGCCUGUACUGACGCUGAGGAACGAAAGCGUGGGGAGCGAACAGG
rnacentral:rRNA from 1 species